UACGUAGGAGGCGAGCGUUUGUCCGGAAUCACUGGGCGUAAAGCGCGUGUAGGCGGGUCGCUAAGUCUGUCGUGAAAGCGCCUGGCUCAACUGGGCGAGGUCGAUGGAAACUAGCGGCCUGGAGGCCGGUAGAGGGGGGUGGAAUUCCGGGUGUAGUGGUGAAAUGCGUAGAGAUCCGGAGGAACACCAGUGGCGAAGGCGGCCCCCUGGGCCCGCGCCUGGACGCUGAGACGCGAAAGCGCGGGGAGCGAACGGG
rnacentral:rRNA from 1 species